AAAUAUAUUUAUAGAUUGGUAAAUGAAUUGGCAAAGGGCCAAAUGCAGAACGAAGAAACAAGCAAGCUAUGCACAGUAUCCAGCUUAACUUCUAAGAAACAAGAUUUACAAAUUUUCCCAUUUCCAUGUUUGAAACAUCAGGAUAUAGACCCAUCCUGCUAGAACAUAAUCUAUAUAUAAUACAUCAUUAUCCCAACCCAUUCGAGAAUAAUGAUUUUUCAUGUAUGUGUCUUUUCUGGAGCUAAGAAAUCCUGACAUCCCUAGCCAGGGGAAACAACCAGAAGUUGUCUGUUGACAGCGAUGGAAAAAUUCAAAUGAAGACCUGGCGUUCUGCUGGGCAAAAUCCAGUACAGUAUAUUGCUUGGUGAACAUCUUUGGGGCAGCUCGAAAUUAGCUUGAGCAUCUUGUUCAAGCAUCGUCAAAAAAACAAGAAGGAAUAUCUGGAGGAUGCAAUGCAGCCACGCACUUGUACUUGUGAUUCAUAUAUUUUUCUCUUAAUGCCCGCCCAGUUGCUUCCAUUAAACUAGAUUGCAACUCAUGGAUAACGAGAACACAAUCCUUCAGUUCAGAUGGUUUAUAACCUGUACAUUGUUGAAGUGCCAAAGUCCAUGGGCAGACUUCAGGCAACACAGUAAACCUUGAUAGAAAGAUAGCUGAAGCAGCAGUCAUUGAUGGCAAGAACCGCACACAACUAUAAUCUAACAAACUCAGUUCCGCAAGAUAACAGCUUAAGAACUCAAAUUGCAAAGUUAAAAAAGAUAAAUUAUCUUGGGCAGCCUUCAAAAAGAUUCUGAGAAAUGUUAUUGUGGUGGGACUACUGAUCUCAAAAUUCAGAAAACUGAGCAAAUCUCUCUCCAUAUUCACUACCUCUUCUCUGGUGUAUGUAUUGUCUGUAAUGUAACAAAAAUCUUCAACAUGAGGCGGACUGAUCUCUUCAUACUUUGAUGCAACAAGCAUGCAAGAUACACCGAGAAGCUGAAGCUUUUCCAUGGCUAAAACGUGAGAAGACAAAAAUCUGUCGAUGUAUGACACUGCAAGAUACAGGGUGUCUGAAACAAGUUUGUAUUCUUCUGUAACCUCCACCAACCAAUCAACUAAAACCGUACGCAUAGAAGGAAUCACGUUAUUCUGAACCUUCUCCAUGUAGUUGGACAAAGGCCUCCUUCUUUCCUCAACCUCCAAGGAGUGAAGAUGCUGAUAAAUAAGAGGACCAUAAGAACAUUUCUGCAGAUUAUCUUUAGGACUAGAAUUAGCACUAGUCUCGAGCUCGACAGUUUCUUUAACUACAUUUCUGGUUUUUCUCAACUUGAUUUUGCGUUUGGAUUCGUGGGUUUCUGUCAAAUCUGAAUUUUGAGUCGACACUAUAACAUUGCCCAAGUUGUUAAGCUCCCCCAAAACAACCCUUUUCUUGUUCGCGGGGUAUGGUCUCUCUGAAAUUUGCAGUGGAUCAUUUUCAUUGGUUAUGGCUAUGGAAUCAAAAGCCCGUUUGUUGGAUCCUCUACUGGCGGCGGCGGUGGCGGGAACCUUAUUCUCCUCGUCGACCAUUUUGACAACAAAUGAUUUAGGAUGUGGUUUGGCGAAUUUAGGGUUUACUACGGUGAAGGGCGAAUUGAAGAACAGUGGCGCUUUUCUCUAUUCAGUUUUUCGUAGCAAAGGCCACAGAAUUCAGAUGCAUUUCCACCAUUUCAAGAGGAUGAGAUAUUUCAUUUGAUUACAGUUUUGAGUAUA
rnacentral:misc_RNA from 1 species